AGGAGGCAGCCGGCCACGGUAGGGUCAGCGACUGGGGUGAAGUCGUAACAAGGUAGCCGUAGGGGAACC
rnacentral:rRNA from 1 species